rnacentral:rRNA from 1 species
CCUACGGGGGGCAGCAGUGAGGAAUAUUGGUCAAUGGACGGAAGUCUGAACCAGCCAUGCCGCGUGCAGGAUGACGGCCCUAUGAGUUGUAAACUGCUUUUGUACGAGAAUAAUAGUUCUUACGUGUAGGGCUUUGCAUGUAUCGUACGAAUAAGGAUCGGCUAACUCCGUGCCAGCAGCCGCGGUAAUCCGGAGGAUUCGAGCGUUAUCCGGAUUUAUUGGGUUUAAAGGGAGCGUAGGCUGGGGGAUAAGUUAGAUGUCAAAUGUCGGGGCUUAACCCCGUGCCUGCCUCUGAUACUGGUGGACUAGAGAGCGGAUGCAGCAGGCGGAAUGAGUAGUGUAGCGGUGAAAUGCUUAGAUAUCACGCAGAACACCGAUUGCGAAGGCAGCCUGCUAAGCCGCAUCUGACGCUGAUGCACGAAAGCGUGGGUAGCGAACAGGAUUAGAUACCCUUGUAGUC